GAUGAAAAACGUAGCGAAAUGCGAAAAGUAAUGUGAAUUGCAGAAUUCAGUGAAUCAUCGAAUCUUUGAACGCACAUUGCGCCCGCCAGUAUUCUGGCGGGCAUGUCUGUCUGAGCGUCAUUUCAACCCUCAUGCCCCUAGGGCGUGGUGUUGGGGAUCGGCCAGCGCCCGCGAGGGACGGCCGGCCCCUAAAUCUAGUGGCGGACCCGUCGUGGCCUCCCCUGCGAAGUAGUGAUAUUCCGCAUAGGAGAGCGACGAGCCCCUGCCGUUAAACCCCCAACUUUCUAAGGUUGACCUCAGAUCAGGUAGGAAUACCCGCUGAACUUAAGCAUAUCAAUAAGCGGAGGA
rnacentral:misc_RNA from 1 species